rnacentral:rRNA from 1 species
AACGAACGCUGGCGGAGUGCUUAAGACAUGCAAGUCGAACGAGAAAGUCGCCUUCGGGUGGCGAGUACAGUGGCGCACGGGUGAGUAACGCGUGGAUAAUCUGCCCUUUGGUCUGGGAUAACCCCGGGAAACUGGAGCUAAUACCAGAUAAGACCACGACGUCUUCGGGCGAUGUGGGAAAAGGUGGCCUCUCCUUGGAAGCUAUCGCCAAUUGAUGAGUCCGCGUACCAUUAGCUAGUUGGUAAGGUAACGGCUUACCAAGGCUACGAUGGUUAACUGGUCUGAGAGGAUGAUCAGCCACACUGGAACUGAGACACGGUCCAG